UGCCUUACUGCUUGGCCCUCCUCUU
rnacentral:piRNA from 1 species